rnacentral:misc_RNA from 1 species
GAUGAAGAACGUAGCGAAAUGCGAUAAGUAAUGUGAAUUGCAGGAUUCAGUGAAUCAUCGAAUCUUUGAACGCACAUUGCGCCCGCCAGUAUUCUGGCGGGCAUGCCUGUUCGAGCGUCAUUUCAACCAUCAAGCCCCCGGCUUGUGUUGGGGACCUGCGGCUGCCGCAGGCCCUGAAAAGCAGUGGCGGGCUCGCUGUCACACCGAGCGUAGUAGCAUACAUCUCGCUCUGGGCGUGCUGCGGGUUCCGGCCGUUAAACCACCUUCAUAACCCAAGGUUGAUCUCGGAUCAGGUAGGAAGACCCGCUGAACUUAAGCAUAUCAAUAAGCGGAGGA